ensembl:lncRNA ZNF300P1 zinc finger protein 300 pseudogene 1
ACCCUGGGAUGGCACAAAUGAAACAAUCUCUCUAUCAUGAUAUUCCCCCGUUGCUCUGAAUGAGUUCAGCUCUGUCUGCAUGAUCUAUCCCAGACUGAAAAGAGUUUACCAGCUAAGUACUUUCCUGCAAUGUAGUAUAUUCCCGUUUAUUGUUCCAACCUGUCAGUAAUUUUUUAUACAGGCAACUGCCUUGUUGAAAAUCAGCAAUAAAAAUUUAAACCAAAGAAAUCUUAAAAUCAGCAAUAAAAAUUUAAACCAAAGAAAUCUUAAAAUCAGCAAUUUUAAUCCACAAAUAUUGAUUUAUCAAGAGAAUUUGCUGGUUUGGAGUAAAAUAUAAAAGAGCUUGUCUUACUCAGUUUGGGCUGCUGUAACAGAAUGCCACAGAUGGAGGACCUUAAACAGCAAACAUUUAUUUCUCACAUUUCUGGAGGCAGAGAAGUUCAAGAUCAAGGUGCCAGCAGGUCUAGUGUUUGCUGAUAGCACUCUUCCUGUUUUGUAAACUUCUCAUUGUAUCCUCACAAGGCCAAGAGACAAAUCAUCUCUCUGAUAUUUCCUGUUGUAAGGGCAUUAAUCCCAUUUAUUAGGGCUCUCAUUUCAUGACCUAAUUACCUCCCAAAGACCCCACUUCCCAAUACAAUCACAUUAGAAUUGCAACAUUUGAAUUUUGGAGGGACAAACAUUCAGUCCAUAACAGAGCUCUUAGAAUUUUGUAGGCUGCUUUGGUUUAGGAAAUAAGGGAAUACACUCCUUAAUUUUCCUCUUGGUCACUCCCAUUCUUGUCUCCAGGGAACAUCUGCAGUUAAAUAUAUAUUUCUCCAUGAUAUCCAUGAUUAUUGUCUUAAGAUAGUUCUACAAAUAGAAAUUCAAAUAGAAUUGCUGGUUCAAAGGGGAACAAUUAGGUGUUUGUAAAUCCACAGGAAACAUAUCUGCAUUUAUCUAAUUAAAAAUACACCUUGCCCUAUGUGAUCAAAUUAUACACCUAGUUCUGUAUGAUCAUAUCAUAGUCACAAAAGGACUAAAGGUGGAUACCUCCUUCACAUGGUGUUUGCUAUAAGGGUCAAACGACCUUCUCCCAUCACGACCUUCUCCCACAGGAUGGCCUAUCAGCUACCUGACUUCUGGUGGUGGUUGUUUAGAGACUGGUGAAUGUUAGUUCUGGCCCAUAAAAACUCCAUUCUUUCUUCCAGACCUGAUUCCUCAGACCUCUGCCCUAUCGGAAGGGAAGCAGAAAAUGAUCAGGUCUCAGGGUCCAGUGUCAUUUGAGGAUGUGGCUGUGGAUUUCACCCAGGAGGAGUGGCAGCAACUGGACUAUGCUCAGAGGACCCUGUACAGGGAUGUGAUGCUGGAGAUCUAUAGCCACCUGGUCUCAAUGGGAUAUCCAGUUUCCAAACCAGAUGUCAUCUCCAAGUUGGAACAAGGAGAAGAGCCAUGGAUCAUAAAGAGACACAUACCAAAUUGGAUCUAUCCAGAGAGAGUAGACUUGACACCCCUCAACUGGAUAUAUUUAGAGAUGUUUUCUUCCAUAAGGAGACACUGGAAAGUAUUACAAGGGGUCAUUCAUUGUACUCCAUUUUAAAAGUCUGGCAAGGUGAUGACCAGCUGGAGAGAGAUCAGGAAAACUGAGACAAAUUUGUCAGGCAAGUUGUAGUCAUCAACAACAAAAGAAUAUCUGAAGAGUCAGGUCAUCCAUAUAAUAUAUUUGGAAAAAUAUUUCAUGACUGCACAGACCUAGAUACUUCAAAACAAAGACUGUGUAAGUGUGAUUCAUUUGAAAAGACCUUGAAACCAAAUAUUAACCUAGUGAGUUAUAAUAGGAAUUUUGCAAGAAAAAACAUUGAUGAGAAUUUUAGAUGUGGGAAAACACCUAGCUACAGUUCUUGCUAUUCUAAGCAUGAAAAAAAUCAUAGUGGAAUGAUACACUGUGAAGCUACUCAUUGUGGAAAGAUUCUUAGCAAUAAACAAUCUCUUAUUCAUUAUGUGAAUGUUGAAACUGGGGAGAAGACCUAUGUAUGUGUUGAAUGUGGAAAAUCCUUUCUCAAGAAGUCACAGAUUAUUAUACAUCAAAGAAUUCAUACUGGAGAGAAACCUUAUGAUUGUGGUGCAUGUGGAAAAGCCUUCAGUGAGAAGUCACACCUUAUUGCACAUCAGAGAACUCAUACUGGGGAGAAACCUUAUGAUUGUUCUGAAUGUGGAAAAGGCUUUUCUCAGAAAUCAUCCCUCAUUAUACAUCAGAGAGUUCACACUGGGGAAAAACCAUAUGAAUGUAGUGAAUGUGAGAAAGCCUUCUCCCAGAAAUCACCCCUCAUUAUACAUCAGAGAAUACAUACUGGGGAAAAGCCCUAUGAAUGUAGAGUGUGGGAAAGCCUUUUCCCAGAGUCACAGCUGAUUAUACAUCACAGAGCUCAUACUGGAGAGAAGCCAUGUAAGUGUACUGAAUGUGGGAAAGCAUUCUGUUUUAUACAUUAAAGAGUUCACACUGGUGAGAAACCCUACAAAUGUGCUCAAUGUGAGGAAGCCUUCAGCAGGAAGUCAGAACUCAUUAUACAUCAGAUAAUUCAUACUGGGGAGAAACCGUAUGAAUGUACAGAAUGUGGGAAAACAUUCUCUCGCAAGUCACAACUCAUCAUACAUCAGAGAACCCACACUGGAGAGAAACCCUAUAAAUGUACCAAAUGUGGAAAAUCCUUCUGUCAGCAGUCACAUCUCAUUGGACAUCAGAGAAUUCACACGGGAGAACAACCUUAUGUAUGUUCUGAAUGUGGGAAAGCCUUCUCUCAGAAGUCUCACCUCCCAGGGCAUUGGUGAAUUCAUACAGGAGAGAAACCUUACAUAUGUGCUGAAUGUGGAAAGGCCUUUUCUCAGAAGUCAGACCUUGUUGUACAUCAGAUAAUUCAUACUGGAGAGAAACCUGAUCGAUGUACUGUAUGUGGGAAGGCCUUCAUCCAGAAGUCCCAACUCACUGUACAUCAGAGAAUUCAUACACUAAUGAAAUCAUAAGAAUGGUCUGAACACAGAAAAGCCUUCAGGGUCAGUUCAAGCCUUAAUAGAUAGUGCAACAACCAAUGGAUUUGAUGAUUUUGGGGACUACAUCUUUGUUGAUAAAAUUUUACAAGUG